rnacentral:rRNA from 1 species
UACGGAGGAUCCAAGCGUUAUCCGGAAUCAUUGGGUUUAAAGGGUCCGUAGGCGGUUUGGUAAGUCAGUGGUGAAAGCCCAUCGCUCAACGGUGGAACGGCCAUUGAUACUGCCAGACUUGAGUUAUUAGGAAGUAACUAGAAUAUGUAGUGUAGCGGUGAAAUGCUUAGAGAUUACAUGGAAUACCAAUUGCGAAGGCAGGUUACUACUAAUGGAUUGACGCUGAUGGACGAAAGCGUGGGUAGCGAACAGG